CUUUCCGGGGAACCGGGAGCGAUUAAGAAGGAAGUGCUCGGCUCUGCGAGCGACUAGAGGCGCACUGAGGCCCUAGAGACCCUGAAAGGCGAGGCUGAGAGGCUGGAGCCCGGAGGCCUGUGGUGCCAGGGUGGACCGGAGACUGGGGCUGGAGACCAGGAGCCUGCAGCACCGGACCAAAGGACCUGGGAUCCAUGGCUGAAGGAGCUGAUGGAGGAGCCGUGCUGAAGGAGCCGAGCUGAAGGAGGAGUCGUGCUGAAGGCCCUGCCUGGUGGAGGAGCUGGUGGAGGGCCUGCCUGGUGAAUGACGUCUGUCGUGGGGUAGAUGGAGCCUGACUCUGAAACCAGGACUCUGUCCGAGGAGAGCUGCUGGAGGAGCUGAGGCGCUGGAGGAUGACUAGGAAUCGACCAACAAGGAUUCCUCAACGUGUUUCUGGAGCGGAGGCAAGCUGGUAGGGGAGCCGUGAAUCUGGAGGAUGACCAUCACUCUACCAACAAGGAUUGCAGAACCACCUGUGCUGAACCUCACCUGAUCCUGUUUGGUCGGGGGUAGACACACCUGAGCUGAACCCGCCCUAAUCCUGACAUCCUGCUGGUCCCGUCUCCUCAGUUCAUCUGAGCCUCGUCCUCCAGAAAGACCUGCUGAGCUCAGCAGUCUGAGGCUGAUGGAUCAAUGACCUCCAGUGGGAGUGAUCUUCUUGACCCCACAUGUAACCGUGUGCUUCCACACGCCUUUCCCUCAUGUUUGUCACUAACCUCACUACUACUUCACUACUCUCUUCUGCUUCCUCUUUUCUUCCGUAUCUGUGGUUCAAACCUUUACACUGAAGGCGCGUCUUCCUGCCAUCAGAUGGUUCAGCGUUAGGGUUGAGAGUCAGGGUUUAGAGUCGGGGACAGAGCUGGUCAGGGAGGACUGCUUUUACACAAACCUCUGCACUUGCUUUCGGAAUGGUGGUGACAUUUUGAAAAGAUUCAUUUGGGAAAAUGUUUUCCUCUGCUUUCCUUUACAAAAUUGUAUUAAACUUUUGUCAAGUGUUAUUGUUUAUAUAUUAAAAUCCCAAAUUGACCUUA